GAAAUGACGUGGCAAUUUGUAAUUUCAUAAUCCGUAGUCAACAAGCCCAAAUAAAUAAUUGGGAGUUAUGAGAAAGAAGAGACGAGAAACGAAAUCAAAAUUCACAGAGAUGAUGAUGAUGAUGUCGGCGGCGGCGAGCCACGUAAGAGUGCUGCUUCCGUUACACCAGCAGCGAUGGUCUAUCUCAACCGGAUCGGAGAUUUUCCGACUGAGUCAAACAGAACCGAGGCGAUUCAAGCUGACGAUCGCAACGACUGCGACUGCGAAGUACAAGGGGACGAAGAUGAGAGAAGAGAAGCUAUCGGAGAUGAUAGAGGAGAAAGUGAAGGAAGCGACGGAGGUUUGUGACGCGGGGACGAGAGAUCAGAGGAGUGUAGAGUCGCGUGGGACAAAGUUGAAGAGGUCUCAGUUGAUCUUUGGUCUCUCGGCAUUCCAUGUUACCUCUUUGCCGGUGUCUUAUUUCUCUCUGUUUCCUUAUUAGGGUCUAUCUGUAAUUUUCUUCUGAUUGUUAUAUGUUUAUAGGGUAUUUUUAAGCUUUGAUUUCCUCAUUGGUUUCCGCAAGGAAUGAUCUCAAUUGGUAUGUUUCAUUUUUGUUAUUAUUUCUCUUCUAUGUGUCUUCCAGCUGGAUUUUUGUAUGUCUACUAACAUGGUUUUUGUAUUGAAUAUAUUGGACAGUGCCAUUGGGAAGUCUUCAACAUUAUUUUGUCAUGUUAUAUGCUUAUGAUUGUGGUUAUUAUUUUUUUUUUUAAUGUGAAGUGUUUAAUCCUACUCUCAUAUGCUUUUGAUGGUGGUUUAGAUGCUAAUCACUUCUGUUUGGGAUGGUUUUUUCUCUUUCUUUGUGAAUUCAUUAUCUUCGUACAUGAAUUUAUAUGAUGCAAGUAGAACUUCUCUUUGGACUUGUUUGCCUAGAUUCCUUUCAAGUCUACAAGUUGUCUCAACAGGGAUGAACUUGGGGUUCCAUCUUUGGUUGUUCAGGUGUAAUGAGCGUCUUUUUCCUGGGUUAGAUUCUUGGUAUUUAAGAGAAGUAAGCUGUGAGUUCCUCACUGGUUGCCUCUAGGAUUGAUCUCAACUGUCGCAGUUUUGGAUUCCUGCGUGUAGAUCGUUGGGUAACAAUAGUCCCUGCCUUUCAGAAGUCUAGUAAACUUGUAUAUUGAGAUAUAGACGAUAUACUCGUUUCGUAUCCCUUACCUUGUACUUGAUAUUAAGAGAAGAGAAUGUGUCUUCUGUAGUA